AGAGAGAGACAUGCGCGCAUAUCAAUAAGCGGAGGGAAAAGAAACUAACAAGGAUUCCCCUAGUAACGGCGAGUGAAGCGGGAAGAGCUCAAAUUUGAAAUCUUAAAGGGUUUCCCUUUACGAAUUGUAGUUUAAAGAAGUGUUUUCUGUUGAAGUUUUGGUAAAAGUUCUUUGGAAUAGGACAUCAUAGAGGGUGAGAAUCCCGUAUUUGACCUUUACUUUCAACUUUGUGAUACACUUUCAAAGAGUCGGAUUGUUUGGGAAUGCAGUCCAAAAUGGGUGGUAAAUUUCAUCUAAAGCUAAAUAUUGGCGAGAGACCGAUAGCGAACAAGUACCGUGAGGGAAAGAUGAAAAGAACUUUGAAAAGAGAGUUAAACAGUACGUGAAAUUGUCAAAAGGGAAGCGUUUGACACCAGUGUUGUUUUUCUGAAAAUCAAUUAAAGAACUGUUUAUGCUAAGCUUGUUUAGACUUUAUCAGCUAUACUGUUUAGUUUUGAGCUUUUCUUUAAUGCACUUUUCAGUUAACAAGUCAACAUCAAUUUCUUUUGCUGUAAAAAAGCUUGAGGAAGGUGGCUUGAGAUUCGUCUUAAGUGUUUAUAGCCUCUUGCCUAUGCAGUCGGAGAGAUUGAGGUCUGCAGCGUAGAUCCUUCGGGGCUAAAUGCAUUUGUGCUAAGUUAUAGCAUUUUAUAGACAACUUGUUGACUAUGAUUUGUCUUGUAGCUUACUCGCUUAUGUUAUUUUACCUACGCUUAGGAUGUUGACGCAUGAGAUAUACGC
rnacentral:rRNA from 1 species